GGAGGGUCCGAGCGUUAUCCGGAAUCAUUGGGUUUAAAGGGUCCGCAGGCGGUCGAUUAAGUCAGAGGUGAAAUCCCAUAGCUCAACUAUGGAACUGCCUUUGAUACUGGUUGACUUGAGUCAUAUGGAAGUAGAUAGAAUGUGUAGUGUAGCGGUGAAAUGCAUAGAUAUAACACAGAAUACCGAUUGCGAAGGCAGUCUACUACGUAUGUACUGACGCUGAGGGACGAAAGCGUGGGGAGCGAACAGGAUUAGAUACCCUGGUAGUCCACGCCGUAAACGAUGGAUACUAGUUGUUGGGAUUUAUCUCAGUGACUAAGCGAAGUGAUAAGUAUCCCACCCUGGAGUACGGUCGCAAGACUGAACUCAAGGAAUUGACGGGGCCGCACAGGCUGAGCAUGUGGUUUAAUUCGAUGAUACGCGAGGAACCUUA
rnacentral:rRNA from 1 species